rnacentral:rRNA from 1 species
UGGGGAAUAUUGGACAAUGGGCGAAAGCCUGAUCCAGCCAUGCCGCGUGUGUGAAGAAGGUCUUCGGAUUGUAAAGCACUUUAAGUUGGGAGGAAGGGCAUUAACCUAAUACGUUAGUGUUUUGACGUUACCGACAGAAUAAGCACCGGCUAACUCUGUGCCAGCAGCCGCGGUAAUACAGAGGGUGCAAGCGUUAAUCGGAAUUACUGGGCGUAAAGCGCGCGUAGGUGGUUUGUUAAGUUGGAUGUGAAAUCCCCGGGCUCAACCUGGGAACUGCAUUCAAAACUGACUGACUAGAGUAUGGUAGAGGGUGGUGGAAUUUCCUGUGUAGCGGUGAAAUGCGUAGAUAUAGGAAGGAACACCAGUGGCGAAGGCGACCACCUGGCCUAAUACUGACACUGAGGUGCGAAAGCGUGGGGAGCAAACA